CGUUCCCCACCAUGUUGUCUCAUGUGAUGUGGUAGUGCUCCAUAUGUGAGACUCUUGGCACCCGACUACCCGAUUGUAGAGAUUAGUAGCUACUGUGCUGUGAGGAUUUUUUAGGCCAGUUUGGCAGGUGAAAUUUCGGGUUUAGAAGGUGAUCGAAAUCGCAUCAGUUGGAGAAGUGCAAAUUACCGCUGCUGUUUUCACAUAGAUUUUGUGGAUCGCUAGCAGUGGAGAAUUGUUCUGUUUUUAUAAGAAAUUUCAAUCAACCUCAAGUUCGACCCAUCUGCUGCAUUUGUCAUGUUCAGGAUUGAUUUCGAUGUGACGUUGUAACCCUUACAACGGGUUGAUUUAUGCAUCUUGUUCAGGAUUUCGCUUGAUAUUGUACAUAUAUUCUAUUCUUUUUGUCAGUGCCUAUUUUCAAUUUUAGAAUUGUUACUAGUAUGUUUGUAUUUUUGGAUGUAUAACUUUUCUUAGACUGCAAUUCGUAUUGGAGUAAAUGUGCAUCUAAGAUCAAUAAUCACUGAAAAUUACUUAUUCUUGUUCAUGUGAGAAUCAUAAGCUGUAGUUGGUCAGAUGAUCAGAUGAAUUCUUGUUCAAUUCAACAUUACAACAAAACUGCAUUGGACGUUUUUCCAGAAUACAUAAAUUGCCUAUUUAAGAAGACAUUGUUGCCUAAAAAAUGAAACUUAAAUUUCUGCUGCAGAAAAGUUGGAGUGUGCAGCAGGCUAUAUAAAAGUGUAGACGAGCAGUUGAGAACCACCAAAAAUGUACAUGUAAAUUUAGUUAAGCAAUUUAAUAUCAUUAGCCGGGCAUGUUAUUAGUAAUCUAGUGGCAAUUAUUUGUGUCUAACAUAAAAAAUGUGCCUAUAACCUCUACUCUUUUUACCAUAUGUCUUCUUUAAUUUUCAAGCGUUACUCUGCUCUCUAUGUGACUUUAAUCAUGCCUAGGUGACAAGGGGAAGCCUGAGAUCCCCUUUCUUGUGUAGGUGACAAGGGGAAGGUUGAGAUUCCAUUUCUCAAGUAGGGAAGUGCAGAUUGGGAGGUGCUGACUAAUGCAGAUGUGAUCAGUGGCGAAGCCAGAAGAUUUGAGGAGUCCGGGCAAUUCUCAUUAAACAAAAAUAUUUAACUAUAAAAUCACAGAAUUCUAUAUAAAUAUAAAGAAAAUUUCUUUUGCAUUUUGGCGAGGAGCCCGGCCGCCCGCCCGGGGUGGCCGGGCGGUGGCUCCGCCAGUGGAUGUGAUGCAUAAAAAGAUAAAAACAUAGCUGUGUAUUUUCUUGCAAAUAAACUGGUGGUGGGGCUGUGGGUUGCAAAUGAACACAAACACUAUACUUGCCUUUUCAAAAUACAUAAAUAACCUAUUUUAGGAAGAUAUUAUUGCUUAAUGAAUGAUACUUAAAUUGUUCAUGAGAAAAUCUACAUGAGAUUUCAGAUUGCUGAGGGUGUAUCCUAGAAUCUGUGGAGCCCCUCUGGUUGUGCAGCCUCUCCGGUGGCGGUGCCCCCUCCAUCUUCCAUACCAGACGCGGGCUCGAGCUUGUUUUUCAACGGGCUGAAGUGAAACCCGGCGAGGCCAUACAUUUACCAACCCGCGCCCCAGCAGGCAUUCCUCUGUUGCUCAGUGCACGCGCAUCAGUCAGGUCAAUCUUCAUCAAGCAAGCUACGACUACGGUUGCCCAUCAACGAGAUCACCUCCAAGAUGCAGGCCAUGUACUGAGAAAAAAUAUGAAGCUCAUGUACAGAAAAGAUAUGGAAAUGUGUGUUUUCCUAGGGACUAAAUGUAUAGUGUUUUGCUCUAGAAAACUGCAGAUAUAAAUGUGUUUUUUUUUUCUGAAUACAUUACUCUUUUGUGAACGCAUAAUACAUGCAGUCCCUAAAAGCAUAUGUCUGGCUUGAUUUGUUUUCCUC